CCACCGGCAUUGCCUCAGUAGCGGCGAGUGAGCGGCAAAAGCUCAAAUUUGAAAUCUGGCGUCUUUGGCGUCCGAGUUGUAAUUUGAAGAAGGUAUCUUUGGGCCCGGCUCUUGUCUAUGUUCCUUGGAACAGGACGUCACAGAGGGUGAGAAUCCCGUGCGAUGAGAUGACCCGGGUCUGUGUAAAGUUCCUUCGACGAGUCGAGUUGUUUGGGAAUGCAGCUCUAAGUGGGUGGUAAAUUCCAUCUAAAGCUAAAUAUUGGCGAGAGACCGAUAGCGAACAAGUACAGUGAUGGAAAGAUGAAAAGAACUUUGAAAAGAGAGUGAAAAAGUACGUGAAAUUGUUGAAAGGGAAGGGCUUGAGAUCAGACUUGGUAUUUUGCAUGYUGCUCUCUCGGGGGCGGCCGCUGCGGUUUACCGGGCCAGCAUCGGUUUGGAGCGGCAGGAUAAUGGCGGAGGAAUGUGGCACGGCUUCUGCUGUGUGUUAUAGCCUCUGACGAUACUGCCAGCCUAGACCGAGGACUGCGGUUUUUACCUAGGAUGUUGGCAUAAUGAUCUUAAGUCGCCCGUCUUGAAACACGGACMA
rnacentral:rRNA from 1 species